CUUGGUCAUUUAGAGGAAGUAAAAGUCGUAACAAGGUCUCCGUUGGUGAACCAGCGGAGGGAUCAUUACCGAGUUUACAACUCCCAAACCCCUGUGAACAUACCACUUGUUGCCUCGGCGGAUCAGCCCGCUCCCGGUAAAACGGGACGGCCCGCCAGAGGACCCCUAAACUCUGUUUCUAUAUGUAACUUCUGAGUAAAACCAUAAAUAAAUCAAAACUUUCAACAACGGAUCUCUUGGCUCUGGCAUCGAUGAAGAACGCAGCAAAAUGCGAUAAGUAAUGUGAAUUGCAGAAUUCAGUGAAUCAUCGAAUCUUUGAACGCACAUUGCGCCCGCCAGUAUUCUGGCGGGCAUGCCUGUUCGAGCGUCAUUUCAACCCUCAAGCACAGCUUGGUGUUGGGACUCGCGUUAAUUCGCGUUCCUCAAAUUGAUUGGCGGUCACGUCGAGCUUCCAUAGCGUAGUAGUAAAACCCUCGUUACUGGUAAUCGUCGCGGCCACGCCGUUAAACCCCAACUUCUGAAUGUUGACCUCGGAUCAGGUAGGAAUACCCGCUGAACUUAAGCAUAUCAAUAAGCGGAGGA
rnacentral:rRNA from 1 species